rnacentral:rRNA from 1 species
ACAAGUGCGGCUGCUACACUGCAGUCGACGGCAGCACAGGGAGAGCUUGCUCCAUGGGUGGCGAGUGGCGGACGGGUGAGUAAUGCAUCGCCACCUGCCCAGACUGGGGGAAUUCCGUAGGGAAACUUACGCUAAUACCGCAUACGUCCUACGGGAGAAAGCGGGGGAUCUUCGGACCUCCCGCGGCUGCAUGCACCGAUGCUCGAUUAGCUAUAUGUAGAGGUAAUGGCUCACCAAGGCCACGAUCGAUAUCUGGACUGAAAGGAUGAUCAGGCACACUGGCACUGAGACACGGACCAGACUCCUACUGCAGGCAGCAGUGGGGAAUAUUGGACAAUGGGCGAGAGCCUGAUCCAGCAAUGCCGCGUGCGUGAAAAAGGUCUUCGGUUUGUAAAGCACUUUUAUCGGGAGCGAAAUACUGCCGGCUAAUACCUGGCGGGGCUGACGGUACCUGAGGAAUAAGCACCGGCUAACUUCGUGCCAGCAGCCGCGGUAAUACGAAGGGUGCAAGCGUUAAUCGGAAUUACUGGGCGUAAAGCGUGCGUAGGCGGUGGCUUAAGUCUGCUGUGAAAUCCCCGGGCUCAACCUGGGAAUGGCAGUGGAUACUGGGUCGCUAGAGUGUGAUAGAGGAUGGUGGAAUUCCCGGUGUAGCGGUGAAAUGCGUAGAGAUCGGGAGGAACAUCAGUGGCGAAGGCGGCCAUCUGGAUCAACACUGACGCUGAGGCACGAAAGCGUGGGGAGCAAACAGGAUUAGAUACCCUGGUAGUCCACGCCCUAAACGAUGCGAACUGGAUGUUGGUCUCAACUCGGAGAUCAGUGUCGAAGCUAACGCGUUAAGUUCGCCGCCUGGGGAGUACGGUCGCAAGACUGAAACUCAAAGGAAUUGACGGGGGCCCGCACAAGCGGUGGAGUAUGUGGUUUGAGUUCUAAUGCAACGCGAAGACCUUACCUGUACUUGACAUGUCUGGAAUUCCUGCAGAGAUGCAGGUAGUGACUUCGCGUAUCCAGAACACAGGUGCUGCAUGGCUGUCGUCAGCUCGUGUCGUGAGAUGGUAGGGGUUAAGGUC